CCCGAGCCGAAGGCAGAAGCCCAACCCACUGAGCCACCCAGUGCCCCCACAUUGUGCUUUUAAGAAAUGUUUUAAACAGGGUUCCGCAAUCUGCGUGGAAUGGGACAUUUUCAGAGGACAAAUCUUGGUGUGGACAUGAGAGCUUACACUAAACUACGAAUGGAUAGGAGGCAAAAGGGAUUGUAGGCCCAACCAGAAGCAAGCCGGCUGAAUUUUACCUGCUGUGGAUGAACUAAGGAUGACAACAAUGAGGCAUGGGUUCUUCAGCUGGAAGUGACCUGAGAUGUGACCAGAUUUCUGGAGCGGGAGCCACGAAUUCUUCCUCAACACACACACUUCUCCCUUUGCAACUUUGACCUCAGGUGGGAACCCAUUGGUUAAUACAAUGGGGAAAGACAUGA